GACGUAGGGGGCCAGCGUUGUUCGGAAUUACUGGGUGUAAAGGGUUCGUAGGCGGUUCGACAAGUCGGGUGUGAAAACUCCGGGCUCAACCCGGAGACGCCACCCGAUACUGUCGUGACUGGAGUCCGGUAGGGGAGUGGGGAAUUCCUGGUGUAGCGGUGAAAUGCGCAGAUAUCAGGAGGAACACCGGUGGCGAAGGCGCCACUCUGGGCCGGUACUGACGCUGAGGAGCGAAAGCGUGGGUAGCAAACAGG
rnacentral:rRNA from 1 species